UUUGGAGCGGUGAUGAUACAUUGUCGAGAGUUUCUGAUACUGCCACUAGGUAGUAUUUGAAGUCAAAUCCGUGGUUGUCUUAGCUCACAA